UACUAGCCUUCACUUGGCUUGCCCUCCUGGUGCAGAUUAGACCAAGAAGAUGAGUGGCAGUGGGCAGUUUACCAGCAAUCAUUACUGCUCACUGAAAAUACCCCCAACAACACAUCUCCCUCUGUCAACUGUGGUGUAGCAGGUCUGCUCAGUAACACUUACUGAAGGCAUCACUUUAACAGAAAUCUGUGUUGGAUCCCAUGACAAAGCCAUCCUUCAACUACAAACAAGCAAACAAACAAAUGACUCCAAAAUGCCUGGCCAUGUGAUUCCAUCUUGAGAGAACUGAUUUUCUACAUCUCAUCUGAAUGGAAGUACAAUUUCAACCUAGUUCCUCUUUCUUUAUUUGUGUCAGAAGCACCACAGUACAAUUAAGAAAUAGAUCAGAUAAUUUUCAUUCAACAACAGGCAACAUCAUUUGGGGCAGCUAACAUCAAACCUUCCACAGUGCAUAUCGAGGGGCAUAAGAACAUUGCCACAGCUGCGAACCAUCCUGUUCCUCUACACUUUUGUAAAGGACCACAUCAGUGAAAAAACUUGUUUUCUUAGGUUCAGUUUGGUUCUGUGAACUCCACUGCAUUGUCUACUGUCAAGCAAUCCAGUUUUUGGUGUGAC